rnacentral:tRNA from 1 species
GGCUGGUUAGCUCGGUUGGUUAGAGCGUGGUGCUGAUAACACUAAGGCCACAGGUUCGAUCCCCGCACAGUCCC